ACCCUAGCUUGCUGGGGGGAUUAGUGGCGAACGGGUGAGUAACACGUGAGUAACCUGCCCUUGACUCUGGGAUAAGCGUUGGAAACGACGUCUAAUACCGGAUAUGACCCCUGCCGGCAUCGGUUGGGGGUGGAAAGAUUUUUUGGUCAAGGAUGGACUCGCGGCCUAUCAGGUAGUUGGUGAGGUAAUGGCUCACCAAGCCGACGACGGGUAGCCGGCCUGAGAGGGUGACCCGCUAUACUGGGACUGAGACACGGCCCAGAUACAUACGGGAGGCAGCAGUGGGGAAUAUUGCACAAUGGGCGAAAGCCUGAUGCAGCAACGCCGCGUGAGGGACGACGGCCUUCGGGUUGUAAACCUCUUUUAGUAGGGAAGAAGGGAGCUUGCUCUUGACGGUACCUGCAGAAAAAGCACCGGCUAACUACGUGCCAGCAGCCGCGGGUAAUACGUAGGGGUGCAAGCCCGUUGUCCGGAAUUAUUGGGGCGUAAAGAGCUCGUAGGCCGGUUUGUCGCGUCUGGCUGUGAAAUCUGGGGGCUCAACCCCCAGCCUGCAGUGGGUACGGGCAGACUAGAGUGCGGUAGGGGAGAUUGGAAUUCCUGGUGUAGCGGUGGAAUGCGCAGAUAUCAGGAGGAACACCGAUGGCGAAGGCAGAUCUCUGGGCCGUAACUGACGCUGAGGAGCGAAAGCAUGGGGGAGCGAACAGGAUUAGAUACCCUGGUAGUCCAUGCCGUAAACGUUGGGAACUAGAUGUAGGGGCCAUUCCACGGUUUCUGUGUCGCAGCUAACGCAUUAAGUUCCCCGCCUGGGGGAGUACGGCCGCAAGGCUAAAACUCAAAAGGAAUUGACGGGGGGCCCGCACAAGCGGCGGGAGCAUGCGGGAUUAAUUUCGAUGCAACGCGGAAGAACCUUACCAAGGCUUGACAUAUACCGGGAAACGUCCAAGAGAUGGUCGCCCCCGCAAGGUCGGGUAUACAGGUGGGUGCAUGGGUUGUCGUCCAGCUCC
rnacentral:rRNA from 1 species